GGGGUCAUAGCUCAGCUGGGAGAGCGCCUGCCUUGCACGCAGGAGGUCAGGAGUUCGAUCCUCCUUGACUCCACCA
rnacentral:tRNA from 1 species